UUGAAAAGAUCACACACAUAUAUAUUGGACAAAACACAAACCAAUUUAUUUGAUGCAUGCAGUAUAACUGCAUGUUUUUGGUCUUCCAGAACACCUGAGAGUAUAUUCCUUUUUUUUCGUGGGGGUCAUAAUACGAACACAAACUCACGAGGACGUUGGGAAUUUAACUGGUAUCAAUUUAUGAUGUAAGUUUGACAUAGAGACAUACAUUUAAUCACCACAGCUUACUAAAAGUUAACGGGGCCUCUAUGGCCAAGUUAUCUAUCAACAAUUAGGUUGUAAGUUCAAACACCGCUCGCGGUAGGCGAUUUCGACUGCUAUCUUAAUUGAUUAAGAUUGAUAGCUUUCUUGUCGAAGGUAAGUGGUUUUAUUUGUGUACUAUGGUUAUCUGUCUAUUGUGGCACUCUCUCUACACGAAACAUCGGAUUUAACGUCCCCAUUCUGAUACAUCACGCACAGCCAAACAGACGCCCCACUUUGGUAAGGAUUUUCCUGCCGUGAGGAAAAAGUCCUUAAAAAAAUUCUUAUUAUGACCAUAUUUUUUCCACUUGUCAUCCGUAAGGACAAAAAAAUGAUUUUUUUUCUAGACGUUAAGCAAGCAUGUAACGAUCAACCAAUUAGACUAGAGGCUCUAAAGGGCCUGUGUCGCUCACCUUGAUCUAUGGGCAUAUCAAAAACGAAUAAAAAUUUAAAAAAUUUACAAAAUUUAUGAAAAUUGUUUAAAAUUGACUAUAAAGGGCAAUAACUCCUUAAGGGGUCAACUGACCAUUUUGGUCAUGUUGACUUAUUUGUAGAUCUUACUUUGUUGAACAUUAUUGCUGUUUACAGUUUACCUCUAUCUAUAAUAAUAUUCAAGAUGAUAACCAAAAACGGCAAAAUUUCCUUAAAAUUACCAAUUCUGAGGCAGCAACCCAACAACGGAUUGCCAUCUGAAAAUUUCAGGGCAGAUAGAUCUUGACCUGAUGAUCAAUUUUAUCCUGUCAGAUUUGCUCUAAAUGCUUUGGUUUCAGAGAUAUAAGCAAAAAACUGCAUUUUACCCCUAUGUUCUAUAUUUAGCCAUGGUGGCCAUCUUGGUUGGUUGGCCGGGUC
rnacentral:lncRNA from 1 species